rnacentral:rRNA from 1 species
UACGUAGGUGGCAAGCGUUGUCCGGAAUCAUUGGGCGUAAAGCGCGCGUAGGCGGCCUUGUAAGUCCGUUGUGAAAGUCAAAGGCUCAACCUUUGAAAGCCGAUGGAUACUGUGAGGCUAGAGUCCGGAAGAGGCGAGUGGAAUUCCUGGUGUAGCGGUGGAAUGCGCAGAUAUCAGGAGGAACACCAAUAGCGAAGGCAGCUCGCUGGGACGGUACUGACGCUAAGGCGCGAAAGCGUGGGGAGCGAACAGG